GUGAUGAGAUGGCGGAUUGCUGAGAGAUGAUGAGGACCUUAGGGGCUGA
rnacentral:snoRNA from 1 species